rnacentral:rRNA from 1 species
GAUGAACGCUAGCUUCAGGCUUAACACAUGCAAGUCGAGGGGAAACGACAUCGAAAGCUUGCUUUUGAUGGGCGUCGACCGGCGCACGGGUGAGUAACGCGUAUCCAACCUGCCCAUCACUUGGGAAUAACCUUGCGAAAGUAAGACUAAUACCCAAUGAUAUCCCACGAAGGCAUCGGAAUGGGAUUAAAGAUUUAUCGGUGAUGGAUGGGGAUGCGUCUGAUUAGCUUGUUGGCGGGGUAACGGCCCACCAAGGCAACGAUCAGUAGGGGUUCUGAGAGGAAGGUCCCCCACAGUGGAACUGAGACACGGUCCAAACUCCUACGGGAGGCAGCAGUGAGGAAUAUUGGUCAAUGGGCGAGAGCCUGAACCAGCCAAGUAGCGUGCAGGAUGACGGCCCUAUGGGUUGUAAACUGCUUUUAUAAGGGAAUAAAGUGGGUCUCGUGAGACUUUUUGCAUGUACCUUAUGAAUAAGGACCGGCUAAUUCCGUG